AGAAUUAUUCUGGGUUGUUGUGGUGGAGGAGGAGGGGACAGUAAUAUAAUAGGACCCAGAUUAUUAGAGAAAUUCCACAUAACCUUCUGUCUUACACACACACACACACACACACACGCACGCACGCACGCAACAAACAGGGACCGUAAAGACACACAAUCCCGACCUUCUCCCGCGACACCUUGCCCCUCUUGCAUCCCCUUGGCACCUUCCCCGUCCCCGCCGCACGCCCUGCAAGCCCCGAGAACACUAGGGGACGCUGGGCCUGGAGUCAUGCAAGGAUCAGCCCGGCGCCCUCUGCUCUCACAGUCGUCACGUUCCCUCGCGACAGCGCCGGGCCCGCGCCGGCCUUCACCUUGAUCCGCACGUAGCAGUGGGUACCCAAAGAGGGGUCGUUCAAGCACGCUGGAGGGUGUUCCCGGGCGACCCUCCGGAAGGUCUGCGUGGGUCCCUUGCCGAUGCUCCACAAAAGUUUGAGCAGGUAGACGGAAGCGCAGAGACCGCAGUAGCAGUAGACCAGGGACCAGAAGAGCAGGGACCGGAUCGUGACCAUCAGGCGGGGGAGGCAAUCCCGCAGCCUCGCCAUCGGGCGGCGGCAACGGCGGGGUCCGCUGCACUUCCGAGGCGCGGAGAGCAGCGGCGCGCACUCCGGCUACGGAGCGAGACUGCAAGCGCGGCGGCGCGUCAGCCCCUCCAGCCGGUCCGCGGUAGCCGGCUCCGCGCGCGCCUCCCCGCGGGCCCCCGGGCGUCCGUGCCUGGCGCGGGUCCGGUGUCACAGCCCCGGGCUCCCGCACUCACGGUGAGCUCUUGCGGCCACUGCGCCCAGCCCCGGAGCGCCGCGUCGCAGACCCACUACGCUGCGACGUCCGCCCCGGACUAGGAUCUUAGUUCCCUGACUGGGGAUUGAACCCACGCCCUCGGCAAUGAAAGCAAGGAGUCCUAACCACUGGACCAGCAGGGAAUUCCCAGGAAAGGGUCUUCCCUGGUGGCACAGUGGUUAAGAAUCUGCCUGCCAAUGCAGGGGACACAGGUUUGAGCCCUGGUCCGGAAAGAUCCCACAUGCCGCGGAACAGCUAAGCCUGUGCGCCACAGCUACUGAGCCUGUGCUCUGGAGCCAGAGAGCCACAACUACUGAAGCCCACAUGCCUAGAGCCGGUGCUCCGCAACAAGAGAAGCCACUGCGAUGAGAAGCCCACGCACUGCAACGAAGACCCAACGUGGCCAAAAAUAAAUUAAUUAAUUAAUUUAAAAAAAAUUCUGGUUUACUUUGAUAAAGAUAAUCACAUAAUAAUGUAGCAUCACCUUGUCAAUUAUUCUACGGUUCCAUGGGCAAGUUGCCUGAAAAUCAGAUCCCUUUCGUCCACACAAUAGCUCAUUAUAAAAUAAUCUUGGGAAUUCUGGAGAAAUUCUUAAAGAUAAUAUAUCAUUUAUGGAUUUCAAAAAAUAAACAAGUUUAUUUGAAUUUUAACAUCCACAUGGUUUGAAUGGUAUACAACAAAGUUUCCUUUCCCAUUCUUGUCCCCCAGCCAACCAGAUCCCCCUCCUUACUCUUAGCAAUUUCUUGGGUAUCCUUUUAGAAACUGGUUCUUUACACUUAAUUCAUCUUAGAAAAUGUCCCAGAGCAGCCCCCUCCCUCCUUAAUGCCUGCGUAGUAUGUAAUCUUAUGGAUGUGGACAUAUGGAUAUUAUAAGCAAUGUUGCAAUGAAUAUCUACUCACUAAUAAGUAAAUAUAUUGUUGCAUAUGUAUGCCAAAACCUAUUGGAUAUAUUUCUUCCUUUCUUCUUUUUCUUCUUUUGGCCUGGCCUACUGGAUUUAUUUCUAUUGGCAAUUUCUGGGCCAAUGCAUUUAAAUUUUGCUAGAUGUUUAAUUGUUCUCUAUAGGUUAUUCCAACUUAUAGAGUGAAAUUUUAAACUUCUAAGAAAAAGAGAGCCUUUGGGAUUGUUGUGAAUGUUUCAGUCAUCCCUGACAAAUCCAUAUAGGCCAAAGAUUUCCUGAAAUGCACACACAAGCUAAAAAAUGUUUCCAAAAUGUUACAAGAAACAUAUAAGUUAUUUUGCUGUGUGGUGGCACUUCUGGUUGGGUUCAUAGAUCUUACACAUGCAGGGAAGCAGUACAGCAUAAAAAGCUUGGAUUCUUUAAGAGUUCUCAUCACAAAAAAAAAUUUUCUUUUCUAUUGCUUUAAUUUUGUACCUAUAUGAGAUGAUGGACAUUUACUAAAUGUAUUGUGAUAAUCACUUCAUGAUAUAUGUAAAUCAAAUCAUUAUGCUGUACACCUUAAACAUAUACAGUUCUGUAAGUCAAUUAUAUCUCAA